AGAGUUUGAUCAUGGCUCAGGAUGAACGCUAGCUACAGGCUUAACACAUGCAAGUCGAGGGGCAGCAUGUUGGUUGCUUGCAACCAACGAUGGCGACCGGCGCACGGGUGAGUAACGCGUAUCCAACCUACCCUUGUCCAUCGGGAUAACCCGUCGAAAGGCGGCCUAACACGAUAUGCGGUUCACAGCAGGCAUCUAACGUGAACGAAAUGUGAAGGAGAAGGAUGGGGAUGCGUCUGAUUAGCUUGGUUGGGCGGGGUAACGGCCACCAAGGCUACGAUCGAGUAGGGGGUUCUGAGACGGAAGGUCCCCCACAUUGGAACUGAGGACACGGUCCAAACGUCCGUACGGGAGGCA
rnacentral:rRNA from 1 species